CUAAAUACUACCCAGUGACCGAUAGCGUAUAGUACUGUGAAGGAAAGGUGAAAAGCACCCCGGGAGGGGAGUGAAAAAGAACCUGAAACCCUGUGCCUACAAGCACCUAGAGCACGUCAAUGUGUGAUAGGGUACUUUUUGUAGAACGGUCCGGCGAGCGAUUGUAUGCAGCAAGGUUAAGGACUUAAGGUCUGGAGCCGAAGCGAAAGCGAGUUUGAAAAGGGCGUUAAGUUGCAUACAAUGGGCCCGAAACCGGGUGACCUACCCAUGGUCAGGUUGAAGUGGAAGUAAAAUUCCAUGGAGGACCGAACCGACCUCCGUUGAAAAGGCGGCGGAUGAACUGUGGGUAGCGGAGAAAUUCCAAUCGAACCCGGAGAUAGCUGGUUCUCCCCGAAAUAGUUUUAGGACUAGCCUCAAGUUAGAUACCUGGAGGUAAAGCACUGAAUAGCCUAGCGGCCGAGAGGUUAGCGAAGCUUAUCAAACUCAGAAUGCCAGAGUAUUGAUGCUUGGGAGUCAGACAGUGUCAGAUAAAUGUCAUUGUCAAAAGGGAAACAGCCCAGAUCUACAGCUAAGGUCCCAAAGUCAGGUUAAGUGGAAAACGAUGUGAAGAUACGCAGACAACCAGGAUGUUGGCUCAGAAGCAGCCACUCAUUCAAAGAGUGCGUAAUAGCUCACUGGUCGAGCGUCUUUGCGCGGAGAAUUUAACGGGGCUAAACCUGACACCGAAGCUUAGGCAAUACAGCAAUGUAUUGGGUAGGGGAGCGUUGUAUACGCGGUGAAACAGUAGCGCAAGCGGCUGUGGAGUGUAUAGAAGUGAGAAUGCCGGAAUGAGUAGCGCGAAUGCAGUGAGAAUCUGCAUGGCCGAAAGCCUCAGGUUUCUGGAGGAAGGUUCGUCCGCUCCAGGUUAGUCGGGAGCUAAGGUGAGGCCGGAAGGCGUAGCCGAUGCACAGACGGUAGAGAUUCCGUCACCACCAAAAGAGUUAAGCACAGGGACACAUAUGAAGUCUCAGAGCCGGGUGUUGGUUCCGGUAGAGAUCGAGGGAAAUUAGUACCGAAGUCUGAGAUGGAAGAUGGCGAGAAAAGCUGUGUGUAUUUCUGAGGUGCCCGUACCGCAAACCGACACAGGUAGGUAGGAAGAAGAUUCUAAGGCCAACGGGAGAAGGGUUGUUAAGGAACUCGGCAAAUUGACCCCGUAACUUCGGGAGAAGGGGUGCUCCAGAGAUGGAGCCGCAGAGAAUCGGCCCAAGCAACUGUUUACCAAAAACACAGGUUUGUGCUAAAUCGAAAGAUGACGUAUACGAGCUGACGCCUGCCCGGUGCUGGAAGGUUAAGAGGAGAUGUGCAAGCAUUGAAUCGAAGCCCCAGUGAACGGCGGCCGUAACUAUAACGGUCCUAAGGUAGCGAAAUUCCUUGUCAGGUAAGUUCUGACCCGCAUGAAAGGCGUAAUGAUUUGGGCACUGUCUCAACAGCCCGCCCGGCGAAAUUGUAGUACCGGUGAAGAUGCCGGUUACCCGCGACAAGACGGAAAGACCCCAUGGAGCUUUACUGUAGCCUAAUAUUGGGUUUCGAUGUUGCAUGCACAGGAUAGAUGGGACACAGGGAAACAAGUGCUUUGGCAUUUGUGGAGUGGCCGUUGGGAUACCAUCCUUGCGAUAUUGGAAUUCUAACCUGCGCCUUUGAAUCAAGGCGGGGGACAUUGUUAGGUGGGCAGUUUGACUGGGGCGGUCGCCUCCUAAAGAGUAACGGAGGCGUUCAAAGGUUCGCUCAGCUUGAACGGAAAUCAAGCAAAAGAGUGCAAACGCAGAAGCGAGCCUAACUGCGAGACUGACGGGUCGAGCAGUAACGAAAGUUGGAGUUAGUGAUCCGGUGGUAUGUGAGUGGAAAUGCCA
rnacentral:rRNA from 1 species